rnacentral:rRNA from 1 species
GACGAACGCUGGCGGCGUGCUUAACACAUGCAAGUCGAGCGGAAAGGCCACUUCGGUGGUACUCGAGCGGCGAACGGGUGAGUAACACGUGAGUAAUCUGCCCCUCACUUUGGGAUAGCCACCGGAAACGGUGAUUAAUACCGGAUAUGACCAUAUGUCGCAUGGCGUGUGGUGGAAAGUUUUUCGGUGAGGGAUGUGCUCGCGGCCUAUCAGCCUGAUGGUGAGGUAAUGGCUCACCAUGGCUUCGACGGGUAGCCGGCCUGAGAGGGUGACCGGUCACACUGGGACUGAGACACGGCCCAGACUCCUACGGGAGGCAGCAGUGGGGAAUAUUGGACAAUGGGCGGAAGCCUGAUCCAGCAACGCCGCGUGAGGGAUGACGGCCUUCGGGUUGUAAACCUCUUUCAGUACCGACGAAGCGCAAGUGACGGUAGGUACAGAAGAAGCACCGGCCAACUACGUG